rnacentral:rRNA from 1 species
CCUACGGGUGGCAGCAGUAGGGAAUCUUUCACAAUGGGCGCAAGCCUGAUGGAGCAACGCCGCGUGCAGGAAGAAGGCCUUCGGGUUGUAAACUGCUUUUAUAAGCGAGAAAUAUGAUGGUAACUUAUGAAUAAGGAUCGGCUAACUACGUGCCAGCAGCAGCGGUCAUACGUAGAAUCCGAGCAUUGUCCCGAGUGACUGGGUGUAAAGAGUUGCGUAGAUGGGAUAAUAAGUAGCUAGUGAAAUCCGGUGGAUCAACCAUUCAGACUAUUAGCUAAACUGUUAAGCUCGAGAGCGUUAGGGGUAACUGGAAUUUCUGGUGUAGGGGUGAAAUGCGUAGAUAUUAGAAGGAACACCAAUAGCGUAGGCAGGUUACUGGGCCGGUUCUGACACUGAGGCACGAAAGCGUAGGGAGCAAACGGGAUUAGAUACCCGAGUAGUC